CAUUACCGAAGGAAACUCUGGUCUUAUCACUCUCGUGAUUAUUUCUCCCCUUAUUCAGAACGCUGCGCCAACAUUUGAUCUUGGCUGAGCCAGGACAUCCAGACAGUGCGUACUCCUCCAGCCUGCCUUGGGCCUAGAAGUUGCUUUGGAGCCACCUGGAGCCAUU